UCUCCGUUGGUGAACCAGCGGAGGGAUCAUUACAGGCUUCGCAAGAACUCCCGUAACCACUGUGAACCUUACCUUCUGUUGCCUCGGCGGGUUCUGCCUCACAUCUCGGGAGCAGGCUCAAGCCCGCCGGUGGCCCACAACUCAUUGUCUGACUCUAAGCAUCUCCGAGCCAUACACAAACGAAUCAAAACUUUCAACAACGGAUCUCUUGGUUCUGGCAUCGAUGAAGAACGCAGC
rnacentral:misc_RNA from 1 species